rnacentral:rRNA from 1 species
UGGGGAAUUUUGGACAAUGGGCGAAAGCCUGAUCCAGCAAUGCCGCGUGUGUGAAGAAGGCCUUCGGGUUGUAAAGCACUUUUUGUCCGGAAAGAAAUCCUUGGCUCUAAUACAGUCGGGGGAUGACGGUACCGGAAGAAUAAGCACCGGCUAACUACGUGCCAGCAGCCGCGGUAAUACGUAGGGUGCAAGCGUUAAUCGGAAUUACUGGGCGUAAAGCGUGCGCAGGCGGUUUGCUAAGACCGAUGUGAAAUCCCCGGGCUCAACCUGGGAACUGCAUUGGUGACUGGCAGGCUAGAGUAUGGCAGAGGGGGGUAGAAUUCCACGUGUAGCAGUGAAAUGCGUAGAGAUGUGGAGGAAUACCGAUGGCGAAGGCAGCCCCCUGGGCCAAUACUGACGCUCAUGCACGAAAGCGUGGGGAGCAAACAGGAUUAGAUACCCUGGUAGUCCACGCCCUAAACGAUGUCAACUAGUUGUUGGGGAUUCAUUUCCUUAGUAACGUAGCUAACGCGUGAAGUUGACCGCCUGGGGAGUACGGUCGCAAGAUUAAAACUUAAAGGAAUUGACGGGGUCAUAGCUGUUU